rnacentral:lncRNA from 1 species
CGCCGCCAGAUGCGGGGCAGGGAGCUUUGAAGGGAGUAUGCAGCCAGGCGUCGACGAUCUUGACGGCGUCAUCGGGGGCGGUGUUCAUGCCGGACACGGCGAGCACGUUGCAAGAGCUGAUGGAGCGGGCGUUGACGGCGUCACCGGCGGAGGAGCAAGUGGCGGCGUACACACGGGGGAACUUGUUGGCGAACAUGGAGACGCCGACGCCGGUGCCGCAGGAGAGGAGCCCGCGGGUCUCCGGCGAGGAUCCACCAGAGGCGGAGGAGCUGACGAGGCGGCCGACCUGCUCGGCGAUGGAGUAGUACUUAUCAGUGCCUAGGUCAACGACUUCGACGCCAGGGAGGGAGCGGAGGUAAGCGACAAGGGCGUCCUUGAGAUUGCAACCGAAGAAAUCGGCGCCGGCGU